rnacentral:rRNA from 1 species
GAUGAACGCUAGCGGCAGGCUUAACACAUGCAAGUCGAGGGGCAGCAGGGAGUAGCAAUACUCUGCUGGCGACCGGCGCACGGGUGCGUAACGCGUAUGCAACCUACCCACUACAGGGGGAUAACGGAGGGAAACUUCCACUAAUAUCCCAUAGUGUUGUUUUUUCGCAUGGAGAGACAACUAAAGCCACGGUGGUAGUGGAUGGGCAUGCGUGACAUUAGGUAGUUGGCGGGGCAACGGCCCACCAAGCCGACGAUGUCUAGGGGAGCUGAGAGGCUUAUCCCCCACACUGGUACUGAGACACGGACCAGACUCC